GACGAACGCUGGCGGCGUGCCUAAUACAUGCAAGUAGAACGCUGAAGGAGGAGCUUACUUCUCUGGAUGAGUUGCGAACGGGUGAGUAACGCGUAGGUAACCUGCCUGGUAGCGGGGGAUAACUAUUGGAAACGAUGGCUAAUACCGCAUAAGAGUAGAUGUUGCAUGACAUUUACUUAAAAGGUGCAAUUGCACCACUACCAGAUGGACCUGCGUUGUAUUAGCUAGUUGGUGGGGUAACGGCUUACCAAGGCGACGAUACAUAGCCGACCUGGGAGGGUGGUCGGCCACACUGGGACUGAGACACGGCCCAGACUCCUACGGGAGGCAGCAGUAGGGAAUCUUCGGCAAUGGACGGAAGUCUGACCGAGCAACGCCGCGUGAGUGAAGAAGGUUUUCGGAUCGUAAAGCUCUGUUGUAAGAGAAGAACGAGUGUGAGAGUGGAAAGUUCACACUGUGACGGUAUCUUACCAGAAAGGGACGGCUAACUACGUGUCAGCCGCCGCCGUAA
rnacentral:rRNA from 1 species